GCGAAACAAAAUUUAAUUGUUAAAACCGAUUCAUCGCCAAACCAUACUCACACCUGAUCGACUCCACAAAUCAAACAAGGUAGGAGAUUCGAAAUUGUACACCCUCCUCCUUUCUUUUUUAACUUUUAAUUGAACAAAGUUGUCUUUAAACGAAAGUAUCCGUCGGCAGCUAUAGUUGACAGAUAGAAGUAUCAAGUAAAUAACUCACAUAAAAUUUCAUUCGAACAUUUUGAAUUCACGACAAUUAUUCUCUGUAUCGACCAGUGAUCACGGUGUUUUCAAUCAUUGGAAACAUCUAUGGUUUUCGUUUUCCUUUUCCCACCGUUAGCAGAUUGCUCAUCCUUGGGUGAGGCCUACGAGGCCACACUGAUUGUCUACAGUGAACUCAGUCACCAAAUAAAAUAAUCAUUUACUCAUUUACGACUUUACUUGUUGCCAAGAACGAAUUAUAAUUCCAUGACGAAAUCAAGAAAGAAUAGAAAAG
rnacentral:misc_RNA from 1 species